CCUUUUUCGAGAGGGCACAGUUUUAUGGAGUAUUCAAAAAGGUCAUGAAGCCUCCACUGUUGGACAAAGUAAAGCAAUCAAUCGCCCUGAUGAAGGCUUUACCGAAUAUGUUCCCAUCACCUGUGUCUCCACCCAAGAAGUUAGGACAUGCAAGUGAGGCUUUGCUUCACAUCCUUGAGCCUGCAGAAGACCCCAACACUUUUCUUCAGACAAGACCACUCUCCAGCCCGGUCGUAGUCGUCUGUGAGACCAACUGC